GCCAGUGUGGUUUAGUGGUUUUGAGUGUUGGACUAGGGCAUUGGGAGAUCAGGGUUCGAAUCCCUGCUCAGCCG
rnacentral:tRNA from 1 species